rnacentral:rRNA from 1 species
AAGUCAGAUGUGAAAGACCCGGGGCGUUAACCUCCGGAAUUGCAUUUGUAAACUGGCAGGCUAGAGUCUUGUAGAGGGGGGUAGGAAGUUUCUAGGUGUAGCGGUGAAAUGCGUAGAGAUCUGAAGGAAUACCAGUGGCGAAGGCGGCCCCCCUCGGACAAAGACUGACGCUCAGAUGCGAAAGCGUGGGGAGCAAACAGGAUUAGAUACCCCUGGGAA